rnacentral:rRNA from 1 species
UACGGGGGGGGCAAGCGUUGUUCGGAAUUACUGGGCGUAAAGGGCUCGUAGGCGGCCAACUAAGUCGGAUGUGAAAUCCCCAGGCUUAACCUGGGAACUGCAUCCGAUACUGGAUGGCUUGAAUUCGGGAGAGGGAUGCAGAAUUCCAGGUGUAGCGGUGAAAUGCGUAGAUAUCAGGAGGAACACCUGUGGUGUAGACGGCUUACUGGACCAUGACUGACGCUGAGGCACGAAAGCGUGGGGAGCAAACAGG